ACAUGGCCUUAUGGCCUUUGGGAUAUUAUAACUGAUAAAGCUUUUAGUUUUUUAACCUGAUAACUUAAGUUUACGCAUAAUGGUAUAUAUUAGUUUACAAUAUAUGUAUUAUCCUAAGACUAAAGUUAGAAACACAAAGAGAAACAUAGGAAUGAAAUUGAGAGAGCUAGAGAGGAAAUUGAGAGUUCUCUGUGAAUUGGG
rnacentral:lncRNA from 1 species